UAGCCAUUUUCAUUUUAUUUAUUGCCCAGUCGUCUCUAUCCUCAUUCUUCCCCUUCCACACUCUCUCCUUCUCAGUUCGUUCAAAAAAAACACCCUCUCCCACCCCUCAGAUCCCGGCGGCCGGCGGCAGCGGCGCGAGCACUGCAGCAAGGUCGCGCGGCUCCGGCUUCACGGCAGCAGAGGCUCCGGGGCGUGGCGGUGUGGAUCCCGGCGGCGGGGAAGGCUCGCACGGCUCCGGCGUCUAGGCAGCGGCGGCUACGACACAGGAGCACGUGGCAGCGCGGAUUCCAGCGGCGGGGCGAGCUCGCGCGGCUCCGGCAUCACAGCAGUGGUGGAUCCAACGCGUGAGUGCGUGGCGGCGCAGAUCCCGGCUGUGGGGCGAGCUCGCGCGGCACCGGCGUCCCGGCAGCGGCGGCUCCGUCUUGUGAGCUCGUGGCAGCCCGGAUCCCAGUGGCGGGGCGAUGGAGCGAGCAGUACAGCGCUGCCCCUCCCACAGUUGAGUGGAUAUCUUCAAUCUGAUUUUUUUCCUGAUCUGAAUGAUGGGCAUUGCAGGCUAAAAGAUCAAACUGAAUAUGUGCAACCCAAGUUUGCUAAUUGCUGGGCAGUGUAGCUCUUUUGUGCUAUGUAAUAGGCUAAUAGCGCAGAGUUAUCCAUGUACUCUGAUUUGUUCUUCAGCUUCUUAUGUAAACAAAGACAUGUAAAUAUAUGUUAUGAGAUGUCUUAAUCGAAGGACAAUUUCUUUUGAUAAA